rnacentral:rRNA from 1 species
UACGUAGGGGGCUAGCGUUGCUCGGAAUCACUGGGCGUAAAGGGUGCGUAGGCGGGUCUUUAAGUCAGGGGUGAAAUCCUGGAGCUCAACUCCAGAACUGCCUUUGAUACUGAGGAUCUUGAGUUCGGGAGAGGUGAGUGGAACUGCGAGUGUAGAGGUGAAAUUCGUAGAUAUUCGCAAGAACACCAGUGGCGAAGGCGGCUCACUGGCCCGAUACUGACGCUGAUGCACGAAAGCGUGGGGAGCAAACAGG